GCCUUCCACUUGUCCAAAUGAGGUGAAAUUUGACAUGCUUACCAUGCUGUGGGUUGUGAUUGGUCAUGAUUUAUUUGGUGAUUUUUGGAAAUGCUUAAGAUUGCUUUUGAUUCAAGUCUUGCUGUUGACUUCUAUGAGCUUCUGAAUGCCAUGCUUUGACUUCUUUUGUUCAUGAAAUGAUGAUGAUGAUUGAUAUGAAUGUGAACCCAAUUGGUUUUGUUUCUUGAAUGUUUGAACAUGAUUUUGGAUACUUGCCCUUUGCUGUUUUAACUUUUU
rnacentral:lncRNA from 1 species